rnacentral:rRNA from 1 species
AGCUCCAAUAGCGUAUAUUAAAGUUGUUGCAGUUAAAAAGCUCGUAGUCGAAUUUCAGGGCGGUGUGCACGGUCUGCCGAUGGGUAUGCACUGUGCGUGCCGCCUUUCCUGCUGGGGUCCGCGUCUGCACUUGACUGUGCGGGCGCGGGGAACAGCGCGUUUACUUUGAGAAAAUCAGAGUGUUUAAAGCAGGCCAAGAUUGCUCUUGCAUGGAUUAGCAUGGGAUAAUGAAAUAGGACUUUGGUGCUAUUUUGUUGGUUUCGAGUACCGAAGUAAUGAUUAAUAGGGAUAGUCAGGGGCACUUGUAUUCCGUUGAGAGAGGUGAAAUUCUUAGACCAAUGGAAGACAAACUACUGCGAAAGCAUUUGCCAGGGAUGUUUUCACUGAUCAAGAACGAAAG